rnacentral:lncRNA from 1 species
AAACAUCUGCUGACCAUCAGUACGUGUCAGCUGACCACUAACCUUUGCUCCUCUUCUGUAAAUUUCGCCAGUUAACUUCCCUUGCAACCCCCUAUAAAAAGAGCCUCGGACUCUGGGCUAGUCGCCUCUCUAAGAUACUUUGCUUUGGGAGUGCCGUCUGGCCAGACUAAGAUCUGUUUUACUUUCCAACUUGCCCGGGUGUUCUUCGCUGCAGUCAGCUCCUCGGAGCGUUUGAGAGACCCCUGUGGCUGCUGUGUGGGUAUGGAGUGGAGGUGUCAAGACUGGAGGCUUGCAUAGAUUGCUACAGUGAUCCCAGCUGUGGAACACCGUGGAGUGAGGAAGAGGACAGAGGGAGAGAACUUUUGUGACAUGGAAGGGGACAGGCUGGACCCUGCCUUUUAGAUGGACAUGCAUGCACAAGUGAGGCCAUGUCUCUGAAGCUCCCUAAGAAACCAAAGGAAAAGUAUCUGUUGGACUGGAUGCAGAGAGGUCAGGAAGCCUCUUGUCCUGGGAGGUGGCUCUGGCACAGAACACUUCCAGGAUGUUGCUCCUAUGAGAUGCACUUUAGACCUUGCUGGUGACAGCAACAUUUUGCUGACUCAGAGCAGCUGGAGAUAUGAAUUUCUAUCCUGUGUCUAGUCCAGGGGAAUGACUGACAAAGCUUCUGGCAAAGCCAGAUCCCAGGGCAGCCCUGGCUGAGCUGUCUUGUCUGGAUCACUGGUGCUCAAGAAACCAAAACAAAACACAAAACAUAGCUGAAUAGAAGAAUUAGCCCAAUGCAUACUUAAUCCGACUCUAUCCUGACUUCUGUGCAUUGUGACUUUGUCCAACACUUCAUUCAAGAUUUAUAUCCCUUAAUAUCAAGAAAUCAACCAACAACAAAUGCUAGCAGGAAUGUAGGGAAAAAGAAACCCUUCUCCACUGUUGAUGGGAGUGCAAACUGGUGUAACCACUGUGGAAAUCAGUAUGGAGAAUCCUCAAAAAACCAGGAUUAGAGGUCCCAGUUGACCCAGUUAUUCUUCUGGGUAUCUUCCCCAAAGAAUUAAAAGCAUCAUACCACAGCAAUAUAUGCUUACUCAUGUUUAUAGGCAACACUGUUUGUAAUAGCUAAAUCUUGGAAACAACCCAAAUGCCCAUCAACUGAUGAAUGGAUAAAGAAGAUGUGUUUUUUCUAUACAAUGGAGUAAUAUUCAGCCAUAAAGAAGGAUAAAUGCAAGACAUUAAUAGCUAAAUGGAUGCACCUUAAAGCUAGACUUUAAAGUGAAAUAAUGGAACAUGCAUAUGUAAAUAUUGCAUUGUCUCUCUGGUGUAAGAAACUGAAAAUGUAAAUAGGGACUAAAAUGUAUAAUGGACAAUGUGAAAUAAGAAAACAGUUAUUCAAUAGGAAGGGGGAACUAAAGGUGAGGAGGGGAAGGAAGGAAGGAUAAAAAUGAGAAAAGAAGGAAAAAUGGAAAUAAGGCUUUUGUAAAUAAGGAAGGGGAAGAGGGGUUGAAGGGAGGGAAAGGGAAUGGGAAGAAAAGGAGUCAAGAUACAUCAUGUAAAGAUACGAAUUUCCUAUGAUGAAUGUGAUCAUUAUGUAAAUCUAAAUUGUACCAAUAAAAUUAAAAAUGACCAAAAGAAAAGAUUUAUAGCCCUGUGAAGAGUCUACUUGGCAUUCUUUCCCCAGGUCUGGGUCAACAACAAUCCUACUGUUACUGAGUUUUGUGGUGCUAAGGACUCCUUUUAGAGAUUCUUUCUAGAUUAUUUUUGUUCUGAACAAAGAAUUGGACAAAACAAGUGCAAAUUAAAGACAGGAAAAGAAAUAUGUUCUGAAGAAUGAAUAUAGGCCAAUUAAAAGUAGGAAAAGAAGUAUGCUCUACAAAGUGCAAGUGAGCCACUGUGAAAGAGAGAGCACAAUAGCUUUGAGCUCAAUAGCUACAAUCUUUAUCUCACACUCCUCAGGCUGAUGUCAUAUCUAGAUCAUCAUAUCAAAAAGCUGCUUGAGUUCUCAUGAGAAGAACUGAAGAUAGCACUUUCUGAUUGGUUCCAGGUGCAGGGCUUGAGUGCAUGUUUCCUGGAUCUUUGUGAUUGACAGGUCACACUCACUUGCCCAGCUGGCUGUCCACACCCUAAUCUCCUGCCUCACUGUAAAGCACUGGUGGUAAACCUAUAGCAUUCAUGCUGCAGGCUGUUUGUAUCGUUGAAAGCUCUAAAAGGUUCACCAUCAUUGUUGUAGAGGGAGUGGAUGUGAAUUCUGGCUGUAGGACAUAGUCUAUAUUUUUUCCACUCUUGCCCCCUGCAUUUCUGGGAAUGUCUUAACUAAGAGGAAAGGAAAAUCGUAGUUACCUGGUUAGAUUGGUGCUUUAUGGUAAGAUGUCUUGUCUUGGAGCAUAGAAUAUAUUUUUGCAGCAUUACCUAAGACCAAUGUGAGGAAUUCCUGAUCAGUUAAGAGUUGCUCACUGUGAUGUGCAUAGCAAGGAUGGGAAGGCAGGGGAACAGUGAAAAUAAGACAGCCAUGUCCUGAUCUCCACCUUUUCUAAGAAAGCAGUCCUAUCUGACCAAGACUGAAAGCAAAUCUCAAUAAGGUGUUUUUGUUUGUUUGUUUUUUUGGUACAGGGAGUGGAACUCAGGACCUUGUGCUUGCCAGGCAGGUGCGGUGCCACAGAGCUAAAUCCCUGGCCCUCAACAAGGUGUUUUUAAAGCCUUAGUCACUGCUAAACAUUUUCUUUCAUGGACAUUGCAUUAGUCCAUUUCUAUAGCUAUAACAAAAAUACCAGAGACUGGGUACUUUAUAAAGAAAAGAGGAUUAUAUAGCUCAUGAUUUUGGAGGCUGAAAGUCCCAAGAUCAGGCUGCCAUGUCCGUCUAGCCCCUAGUAAAGGCCCUUUCUCCUACAUCACAAUGUGGCAGAGAAGCAAAAAGGGAAAUUGCCACCUCUGGAGGAGGUCAACUGCAUGGGGUGGUUUCAACUUAUAAAAACCCAUACUCAAGAGAACUAACUAGGUCCUUUGAGAACUACAUUAAUCCCUUCUGAACACAGCACCUCCAGUAAUCUAAUUCCUUUCUACUAGGCCCCACAUCUUAGGUUCUACCACCUCUCAACAUUACCACAUAGAGAACCAAGUUUCCAGCACAUGAAGCCCAGGAAACACACUUGAACCAUAUCCAAACCACAACAGCCAUGUUAUCCAUGAUCUUGUGUGAUCUUGAUCCCAGCCCUUGAAACUCUCCAUCCUCUGAAAUUACCUGAACUUAUCUGAACUUAGUGAUUAUGCCACUUAUCUGUCAUGUGACAUAUUGCCUUGAGGUUGUUAUUUUAUAAGUAAUAGAAAUAACUCAUGUUUAGAGAGAACUUGCUAUGUACUAGGCCCUUUACAAAUAUUUAAUUUUGACAACAAAGCUCAGAGGCAAGAAUUGUUAUUGUCUCUAUUUUAUAGAUGAAUAAACCAGCACUUUAAGAGAUAGUAUGUAGCUUGUCCAGUUAUGCAGCUAGAAGCAAGCAGUGGAGCUGGACCUUGGGCCCUUAUCACUCAUGAGCUAGCAACCUUGGCUUUCUCAUCUCUAGGAACUACAAUGUAAGCUCUUGGAGAGCCAAUGUUAUGAUUCAGUUUUUUGCUAUGUUCAACACACAGCCACUGAUUGAUUGCCUGCUUGAUUCUCAAGAUUAUUUUAAACAAAACAGAAUAUGUUUCUUUUAAGGAGCCCAAAUCCCUUAGAAGAUCAUUUCCAACUUGAUUCUAAAGAAUCUCUGAGCAAUAGCAAUCUAUUACUUCCCAAUCUUGUGGUCAUCUCCCCUCUCCCAGCCCCCACACUGACCUUUUCUUCACACACACACACACACACACACACACACACACACACACACACAGAGUACUAAGAUAAAGGCAAGAGUAAGAGAGACAGGGGCUCAAAUCUAAUUAAGACAAGACUUUGAAGUGAUUAAAUCAAAGUUUCACAAGAAUGCCAAAUUCAAUUUUAGUUGGGGGUGGGGGGAGACUGAACCCUUGAAGCCCUGCCUAUUUUGGUUAUGGGUCAUAGUUUAAAUAUUCUUUGCACUUUUCUCCAAAGACUGCAAUUAAAUUAGAAUGUGGUUUACAGAACAUGUUAUUUAUUAUGUACUUGUGUCUCCUGAUUAUGCUUGUCUGCCUGCAGCUUUUUUGAGCCACCAGGGAAGGUGUGCUUUAUAUAGCAAGAGAGGGUAUGUGUGAAAUGUUCUUUGAAUAAUGACUGCAAGGUGCUCAGAGAAGCCUUGACUUUAUUUAGACAUUUAAUUUCUUCACAGUUUCCUCUCUGAGAGGACUCUUGGCUUCAUUUCCAGACAGCAUGCAUGUGGUAAGAAAAAGGGCAGAAUGUGGGGAUCUGGAGGAGGGAGGGAGGAUUGGUUGUAGGUUCAGGGAAUAAUAGAUUUUUAUUAUGAGGAAGAUUGCAUCAUUCAUACUUGAAAUUCCCAUGUGGUACAGUUUGAUUAAAUGUUUAUAUAGUCCAGGUUAUCCUCUGCUACCCAGAUAGUUAAUGCUCCCAGGCAUUGUACUUCUCAAAGAAGAGUAAAAAUUAUCCAAGCCAUUUGAUCAAAGAUAAAAGUUCAGAGAUUGCACUGAUGGCAUUCUUGCAUGGAGAAUUAAUACCCUAAAAUAUUUGCUAAGAUAUUAUCCUCAAUUUGUAAAACAAUACACUAAGCACCGCCUGUGGAGAGAGAUACCUACAAAAAAUGUAUGCACUUAAAAAUAUGUAUCUACAUAAAACUGAAUUAUAGCUGAGAGAAUAAAUCUCCCCCACAAUGAACACCUGGGACUGAAUCACAGAUUGUAUAAUCUGUGAUUUAUCUGGUCCCAAAUACACAGAAACAAGCAAUAAUCUUGAGUCGGAGCCUUUACUACAUCCCUCCCAUUCUGAGAUGGGGAUUUCAGAUGCCUUCAUCAUUUGAAAAUCACAAAAUAGACAGCUGGUGAGUCUACCAUGCUGACAAUACUACAGCUAUUCCCAGAGAGUGUGCUCUCUGUUUUAAACUCAACUCAGUAAAUAUUUGAGAGCAUUUUUUAUAUUCUAGUUGCAAUCAAGGGCAAUCAAUGGCAAUCAAGGAUUCAAAGAUGAGCAGGACUCAACUGCCCCAGCUUGAGGCCCUUAGAAGUAGCUCACUUGCUGUAAGAGCUCCAGAGAGAAUGUAAUCUCUGAUGAGGGUGUAGAGGACUCUUCGUAGAAAAUGGUCUUCCCAGUGAACAUGCAGGACAGUGUGGGCUCUUCCUGUGUCCUGUGGAAAACUCAGGGUGUGAAGGCAGUCUCUGGCUUGGAUUUUAGUGGGGUAGUAGCCUUGCCCCUUGUUUCUAGCCAGCACUCACUUCCAAGUAGAUGGCAGAAGGCAGGGUCUUCUUUCCCACAAUGGAGGAUGCUUGGGGCCCCAGUCAUAAGUAGGGGCAAGAGUAGAAACCCAACAUUCAGGAUGAUAGCUUGGGAGCAACCAGUGUCCAGCUCUGUCCAGCUUCUAAGCUGCCUCAGCCCAGUUUCCUCUGAAGUCAGAACAAAGAGGAGGGAUGCAAGGGACAGUGGUUCUGUUGGUUCCAGGGUAUCAUCUUCACCCCAGGAAGCUGGUGCUGGCUUCUCUAGGAGGUGCAUUUGCACGUUGAUAGGCUCUCUGGUGCCCCUAUUCCCCACCCCAAGGUCCUCAACACUGCAGCAUUUCCUGAUGGGCUGAUGUCUGCUUCUUCCAUUCCUUGUGCUUCAGGUCAAAUCCUGUGCAUCCCAGUGGCAGAUGCUUGAGAUACCUCCUUUCCAGAUGAACCUGGUCCCUUCUGAAAGCAUCUACUGAGUACAUUGGACACAUAUGACACCCUGACAAACCAAAAGACAGAAGAGUCAUUGGGCCGAUACUGGCUGAGUGUCCUGAUUCUGCUGGGAGACUCGAAGCAGGCAGUGCUCAGUCUUCUUUUGCAAGGGACCCAACUUUCAGAAUCAUGACAUGUCCAGUAACCUCCAACACAGCAGCAAGGACAAACCAGACUCCCUCCAGCUAUCAAGGGCAUCUUGGGAUACUGUUCCUUAGCUUGUAGUCAGAGUAUGGGGAUAGGAAAGGAACUUUCUUUGGGGUGUCCACUCCCAGACUCUCUCCCAAGAAAAAAGGUAUUCCAAAACAUCUCAUGAAGCACCUGAAGGACUGCACGAGUACUGAGUUAGGUGACUAAAAAUCUCAGGGAUGUAGAGGCCCCUAAAAACUGGGAUUCCCUUCUGAGAUGUUAGGUUGACUUUGUUCCUGAAUUGUAACAAGAUGAUUUUUACCUUCACAAGAAAUUGCCUUUGUUUUAUUGUUUGGUGGCUGUUCCACAACUCUCAGAUCUGUGUUUCCACAGCUUCCCUUGAUCCAAAAACAGGACACGCCAAGGAGAUGAAAAGCUUGGCUGAGCUGAGUUCUAAGGGAAGUCCUGGUCAUUACAGAGAAAAUGUUCCUCCAGAAAGACACUGAGUUCCUCAUAAUGUGAGAACCUUCUUUGAUGUGUUUUUUUUAUUGGGUAUAAUGUUAAGGCAUUGGAGCCAGGAAUACCUGGGUUUCCACUGUGGGAUUCCAUACCCAGGCAGCCCAGCAGAAGCCCAUAGACAUCUACCUCAGGGCGGAGGCUGGGAUCCCCUGAGGAAGGACUUCCUAAUUAUUAGUCACCUUGCAAUACGGGGUAGAGGGCUUCCCAUCACUAAAAAUGUUCCAGCAGAGACUGCACAACCACAAAGGACUCCACAGUAUUAGAAUCUGUAACCUCUAAGACCUAUUUCUUUGCAGCCCUAUUAAAUUGAAAACUUCUGAAAGUGGUGGUUUUUAUAUCCUUCUCCCCUAGAACCAUGUGGGAGGAAGGAAGGAAGGAAUAUAUGUUCCCCACAGCCAAGAGGCAUCAGACCCCUGAUGAUUUGGAAGCUCUGAUUACUAUCUAGCCCUGGAUUACCUAGCCUUAACAUCAUCAUUUUUCUACCAUUUUAUUCCUUCCUUGCAAGACCAGCUGAGUUUUGACCCUUUAUCUCAGCAAGUUAGCAGGAACUGAAGAUGUCAGUGUUGUACCUGUUCAGGGAACCAGAGUUAGAAUCCAUGCAACUCUACAUCUACCCCCAUCUCCUACUGAGACAGAUUCAUGUCUGUGUCCGAACACCAGAGCCAUGGGGAGGAGGUGCUCACCCAGGUGGGAUUUGAAGGUGUCCAGGACUUUCUUUCCAUAUAGACACCACCAUGGUUAUCAUUCAAAUCUUGCUUUAUCUCAAGGGCUUGCUUUUGGAAGGGGGACUAAGGACCAGUCUUCAUCUCCCAAGCAAUGUGAUUCUGUGGCAUUGGAAUUGCUUUUAAAAAAAUUAAAAACUAAAAGAAUGCAAAAAAUAUAUUUGAAACUUUCUCCCUUGGAAUAAGGUGAUUUCCUUACAAAUGUAACUCCCUUGGGAGUUGAUUCCUUAACUCUAUAGCACCCUCUGAAUUUUUAAGCAAGCCUAAUCUAUUAAAUUAACUAAAACAGAUACAGAAAGAAGGGAUGCAUAACUCAUCCACAAGUGUGCUGGUUUUCCGUAUGAUGGGUGAUAGGUUGGAGGGAGGGGAAUGUUUAGAUCCAGAGUCCAAAGAAAUCCCUGGGCUGCAGGUCACCGUAAGAAUCAGUCACUCUUGCAUGAUCAACCUGUGUUUCUUGGAGACCUUGGGAUGGGUGGAAAUCUAUCUCCUCUUUCAACGCAGCACCUCUGCUCUGUUCUGCUUUGUAGACUGGGCUGGCUCCUAAGAUUCUCUCUGGAGGGCUCUUAGCUGAGGACAGCAGGACGUUGCUGAUGCUGUCUAUGUGUCCUAUAUUGCUGAUGAGGGGUCUAGGGCUCAAGACAGGAGAGGAGUUCACAGUCAUGGGAUUGUUUGCACAGGAAUGGACCAGGGCUCAUUGCCCUUGUGCAGCCAGGCUUGGUGGAUAUUGAGGUAGCUACUGCUCUAGUGCUACAAGAGGAGAAUGAGAUGAAGAGCACUUUCUGAGAAAGGCCAUGGGGUCUCAAGUUUAAAAGGACAAGACAGAGGAGGGGAGAAGGCAGUUGGAAGUUCCAGGUGCUAAGUGUUUUCAGUCAAGGGAUCUUUGAGUUUGUCAAGAGAGGAAGAGUAUAAGCUUGACAAUUCUGCACACUGUUCAGAGACUGCUUACACCCUGACUUCUCUAGGAUAGGUGUGCUAACCAUGGAACCUGCAGUCUGUCUAUGGUAGACUUCAGAGAGCCCUCAAACUUCCUGAACUUGUAUCAAAACAUGAUGUACCUGGGCAUUGCUCUGCAUCCAGAGUCUAAGAAGAGGGGGAUUUUAUAGUCAUUACAUUUUCAAAGGGGUUAAGGGACACUGUAAAUCAUUGCCUCUUGGAAACUUUGUGCCCAGAUUGCCUGGCUCUUUCUUCAAAUAACUUCUUUGGCUUGCCCCAUACUUCCUCCAGGGUAGGAAUAAAAGCUGCACUUAAGUCUCCAAAUUUGGAAUUGCUAUUUUGCUGCUAGAUUGCUCAUUUGUGUGUGUGGGAGGACUCAGGGAGGGAGGAGGGAGGAAUGAGAAAGACUGCAUUCCAUAAAUGUGUUAUGUGUGUGUGUGUGUGUGUGUGUGAGUGUGUGUGUGUGUGUGUGUGUGUGUACGUGUGGUGUGGUGACAGUCAGACCAGGAGGUGCUGCGUUUUCUUCCCUCUUCCUUUUUUCCGUUUGGAUGAGAAGCACCUCUGCUUUGAAGGCCUGCCUUUGCCAUUGCUUCAAAAGCUUUUCUUGUUGCUUUCUGAUCCUCAUGGCCUUCCAGGGCUUGGCUUUGGUCCUGUGUGAGCCAGCAACUUGAGCCAAUGGCAGCAGCAGAAACCAAGAUAGCUCUGAAAAAAUAUUUGCUUAAUUAGCAAAAAUGAUCUGUGAUCAGAAUCCAUGUUUAACUGCCUGGCCUGGUGCCAAGCCUGAUGAAUUUUCCUUCAAAACUGAUUUUGAUUUUGAACUGAGAAGAUCCAACCUGCAUACUGGGGAAGGCAAAUGCCCAGGUCUGCUUAGACUAGGGGUUUUUUCCUGUCAAACAUACAUUGGGGAAAUCAGAGUGGGGGUGGGGGAGCUGGUCUGUGUCAGCCAGCAAGCAGUGGCAAGGGGACCUGGCUGUCACUGUGGCUAGUUCUUUAGUGAGGGUGAAGGCAUGGUGCUUGCUCUGUGGUGUGUAGGUGAGCUUCGAAGGAAGGUGGUCUCAGAGAACUGGUUUGUGGGGAGCUGAGCCCCAUAAAUGACAGGGCUGAAUAAUUUAUGGCUCUGAAUAUGUUACAGGAGAGGUGCCUUGGAGAGUAGCCUUGGGGUCAUGGAGAGAGAGUCUGCUGGUACAGGGGCGACAGCGAUAUGGAGCAAGGAAGUGACUGGUCUUAUGGAACCACCUCAAUUUGCCUUUAAGUCAAAGUGGCCUGUGGAAAUCCCAAGGAUGAGUCAAGAAUCUGCUGAGGAGGUGACAAGCCCAGACAAACCUAAAGUUUUUUUCGGCCCCCGAAGUUAGGGUCACUCAGGUUACUCUCUGACCCUUCAGACUUGUCUAGUACCUCUAGAAUUCUUUUUAGGACUCUCGAGCUGUCCUUAGGUUAAUUCAGGCCAUUUUGAAUUGUCACCUUGGAAGUAGAUUUGCCAGUUCCCAAGGGACUUCUCUUACAGAAAGACAGGUUUCUUCCAGGGGAAGCCAGGGGCUGUCCAGCUAUCUUUGGGGGUGUCCUGAGAGCCUUCUGAUUGCCCCUCCACAUCUGUCAACUACCCUAUUUUCCUAAUGAGACUGGCCUGCAUAGGCAGUGACCCUGAACUCCAGCUUCUGGUUGGCUUAGCCAAUGGGGAGCCCACGAAGCUCAAAAAGAAAGGCUGAGGUGCCAGCAUAUAUUUCACCCUGCACGCCUUCCCUCCUUGGCCUCCUUUCCAUUUCUUUUUCCCUCUUCCAGGUCUGUUGGCCACUCUCUCCCCUCACCUCUCCAGGUCUCUGCAUUUAGUACGAGCCAGGCUGCAGGACCCUGCUGGUUUCCCUGAACUCUCUUCCCCUUCAUAACUUGCCCUUUUGUUUUGCCUUCCUGGAAUUAUCCUGAUUAGAGUUGGUAUGGUCUCUUGCUAGGUUCCCGAUCCAAACAGGAAAUUGUCUUUUCUGGGCCUUUCUAGACUUUGUUAACCUCAUUUUCUGAGGAUAAAGCUCCCCAAAGGCAUAUAUUACAGAGCAAACAUAUGAUGGAAAAGUUUGUUUUUAAAACCUCCAAACAAAAAAUAAGUACUGGAGUGCAAAGGUGCCUAUAGUAUUAAGGCCCUUACUUGGCUGGUUGGUCAGGGCUCUGAGCUAUGCAGUAACUCGGCUAAAUGAUCUUGCAGCAAGGGCUGAUCUCAAGGGUGGGGUGGCUUCUACCAAUUCCACAGAGGUGUGGAUCAGAAUGGGAGUUCCCAUUUGUCUCCUAGGAUCCUUCAUUACCUACUGGCAGCUUAAUAGAAAUUCUGUCUCUAGCCCUCUUGGGGACCUGACUUUAUUAUAUUUAAAGCCUACUACUAUCCUAUGGAUACCUCCACUCUCUCCAGCUCUAACUAGUGGGGGCCAGGCUGACGAACUCUGCAGGUGAUCAGGAAAAGCUCUGGUGCAGACACAGGAUGAAGGAGACAGGGUAGGACAGUGUUCUUUCACCAUGAAAAUAAAUUGUGUGUUUGUGAGGAGUCUGUAGAAAGACUUAAAAUCAGAGAGGCAGAGGGCCAGAGUGGGUGUCCAGUGAACUACAAUUUCUGUGAGGAUCUCUAUAGUCAUUGUUUUGGACAGAGGUCUCAGUGGGCAGACAGAGGGCUGUUAGGGAGAAACUUAUCCUUACACAGUCUUAGGAAUGAGGGUUUGUGUGCUGAGAAGUUCAGGGAAGAGGGGUAAACCACAGGAACCAGCCAGUUCAGAGGCCUCAAAGGGGCUGCUUUUGUGAGUCACUAUGGAGAGAUCUUGUAGGUCCCUUGUAUAGAGAUACUUGCCCAUCCUGAGAUUAGAAACCCAGAUCCUGGGGUUUUGCUCUCUCUGUUCCUGUGAGCACCACCCAGCCACACUACUUCCCCUGGCACCUAUGGUCGAAUCCACUUUGCAGACUCUCCAACAUUUUUACAAGCAACUUCCUUGUUCCCCACUUCAGAUACCAAUAGCCAGCGCCACUUCUCCCAAGCUGGGUUCCUACACCACUUCCUCUAAGUUUCCAACUUUUGAUAAUCUUACCUUCUUCCUUUUGUUACCUUAGCCUUCGAGGUGAUGCUUUUUUUGUUUUAACCUUCUCAGUCACAAGUUAGCAC